rnacentral:tRNA from 1 species
UGGUGGCUCAGUGGUAGAAUCCUUGCCUUCUAUGCGGGAGACCCAGGUUCAAUUCCUGGCCA